UACGUAGGGAGCGAGCGUUGUCCGGAAUUACUGGGUGUAAAGGGAGCGUAGGCGGGGAUGCAAGUUGGGUGUCAAAACUACCGGCUCAACUGGUAGUCGCACUCAAAACUGCAGCUCUUGAGUGAAGUAGAGGCAGGCGGAAUUCCUAGUGUAGCGGUGAAAUGCGUAGAUAUUAGGGGGAACACCAGUGGCGAAGGCGGCCUGCUGGGCUUUUACUGACGCUGAGGCUCGAAAGUGUGGGGAGCAAACAGG
rnacentral:rRNA from 1 species